rnacentral:rRNA from 1 species
GCUCGAGUGGCAAACGGGUGAGUAACACGUGAGUAACCUGCCCUUGACUUUGGGAUAACUUCAGGAAACUGGGGCUAAUACCGGAUAGGAGCUCCUGCUGCAUGGUGGGGGUUGGAAAGUUUCGGCGGUUGGGGAUGGACUCGCGGCUUAUCAGCUUGUUGGUGGGGUAGUGGCUUACCAAGGCUUCGACGGGUAGCCGGCCUGAGAGGGUGACCGGCCACAUUGGGACUGAGAUACGGCCCAG